GCAUCGAUGAAGAACGCAGCAAAAUGCGAUAAGUAAUGUGAAUUGCAGAAUUCAGUGAAUCAUCGAAUCUUUGAACGCACAUUGCGCCCGCCAGCAUUCUGGCGGGCAUGCCUGUUCGAGCGUCAUUUCAACCCUCGACUUCACGUCUUUACGGACGAGAAGCCGGUGUUGGGGCGCGGCGAUCGAGCCUAGCUCGCGCCGGCUCCGAAAUUUAGUGGCGGCCCGUUGCGGCGACCUCUGCGUAGUAACUUAACCUCGCACUGGGACAGCAGCGCGGCCACGCCGUAAAACCCCCGACUUUUUUAAGGUUGACCUCGAAUCAGGUAGGACUACCCGCUGAACUUAAGCAUAUCAAUAAGCGGAGGA
rnacentral:rRNA from 1 species